rnacentral:tRNA from 1 species
CCCUAAUAGCUUAACCCAAAGCAUCGGUUUUGUAAUCCGAAGAUCGGAGGUUAAACUCCUCCUUAGCGC